rnacentral:rRNA from 1 species
UACGAAGGGGGCUAGCGUUGCUCGGAAUCACUGGGCGUAAAGGGUGCGUAGGCGGGUCUUUAAGUCAGGGGUGAAAUCCUGGAGCUCAACUCCAGAACUGCCUUUGAUACUGAAGAUCUUGAGUUCGGGAGAGGUGAGUGGAACUGCGAGUGUAGAGGUGAAAUUCGUAGAUAUUCGCAAGAACACCAGUGGCGAAGGCGGCUCACUGGCCCGGUACUGACGCUGAGAUACGAAAGCGUGGGGAGCAAACAGGG